rnacentral:tRNA from 1 species
GCGGACGUAGCUCAGCUGGUUAGAGCGUCUCGUUGCCAACGAGAAGGUCGCGGGUUCGAAUCCCGUCGUCCGCU